rnacentral:rRNA from 1 species
GACGAACGCUGGCGGCGUGCUUAACACAUGCAAGUCGAACGGAAAGGCCCUGCUUUUGUGGGGUGCUCGAGUGGCGAACGGGUGAGUAACACGUGAGUAACCUGCCCUUGACUUUGGGAUAACUUCAGGAAACUGGGGCUAAUACCGGAUAGGAGCUCCUGCUGCAUGGUGGGGGUUGGAAAGUUUCGGCGGUUGGGGAUGGACUCGCGGCUUAUCAGCUUGUUGGUGGGGUAGUGGCUUACCAAGGCUUUGACGGGUAGCCGGCCUGAGAGGGUGACCGGCCACAUUGGGACUGAGAUACGGCCCAGACUCCUACGGGAGGCAGCAGUGGGGAAUAUUGCACAAUGGGCGGAAGCCUGAUGCAGCAAGCCGCGUGCGGGAUGACGGCCUUCGGGUUGUAAACCGCUUUCGCCUGUGACGAAGCGUGAGUGACGGUAAUGGGUAAAGAAGCACCGGCUAACUACG